UACUUAUCACUUUCGCUUAGCCACUCAGGUCUCAAUUAACCCGAACAGCUAGUAACCAUCGUUUACGGCGUAGACUACCAGGGUAUCUAAUCCUGUUCGCUACCUACGCUUUCGUCCAUCAGCGUCAGUUCAUUGUUAGUGAUCUGCCUUCGCAAUCGGUAUUCUGAGUAAUAUCUAUGCAUUUCACCGCUACACUACUCAUUCUAACCACUUCACAAUAACUCAAGAACAACAGUAUCAAUGGCAAUUCUACAGUUGAGCUGCAGACUUUCACCACUGACUUAUCAUCCCGCCUACGGACCCUUUAAACCCAAUGAUUCCGGAUAACGCUUGGAUCCUCCGUAUUACCGCGGCUGCUGGCACGGAGUUAGCCGAUCCUUAUUCUUACAGUACCGUCAACAGUGUACACGUACACCUUUUUCUUCCUGUAUAAAAGCAGUUUACAACCCAUAGGGCAGUCUUCCUGCACGCGGCAUGGCUGGAUCAGGAUUGCUCCCAUUGUCCAAUAAUUCCUCACUGCUGCCUCCCGUAGG
rnacentral:rRNA from 1 species